rfam:Otolemur garnettii contig036258, whole genome shotgun sequence.
ACAGGGUGUGGUGUCAGGCGCCUGUAGACCCAGCUAGGCAGGAGGCUGAGGCAGAAGGAUCACUUGAGCCCAGGAGUUCUGGGCUGUGGUGCGCUAUGCUGAUGGAGCGUCUGCAUUAAGUUUGGCAUCAAUGCGAUGACCUCCCAGGAGGGGGAGGGCAGGGCACCAGGUUGCCUAAGGAGGGUUGAACCGGUCCAGGUCGGAAAUUGGAGCAGGUCAAAACUCCCGUGCUGAUCGGUAGUGGGAUUGCAUCUGUGAACAGCCACUGCACUCCCUCCUGGGCAACAGAGUGAGACCCUGUCUCUA